rnacentral:rRNA from 1 species
CUAGCUGUAAACGAUGGAUACUAGGCGUUGAGAGUAUCGACCCUCUCAGUGUCGUAGCUAACGCGUUAAGUAUCCCGCCUGGGGAGUACGCGCGCAAGCGUGAAACUCAAAGGAAUUGACGGGGGCCCGCACAAGCGGUGGAGUAUGUGGUUUAAUUCGAUGCAACGCGAAGAACCUUACCAGGGCUUGACAUGUCCGGAACCCUGCCCAAAGGCCGGGGUGCCUACGGGAACCGGAACACAGGUGGUGC